UUUCCCUCUGCGUUCGCUCCGCGCUGCUGGAGGCUGUCGUCCCAAUGCUCCCCAAACGGCGGCGAGCGCGGGUCGGGUCCCCUAGCGGCGAUGCCGCUUCCUCCACGCCGCCCUCGACGCGCUUCCCGGGAGUCGCCAUCUACCUGGUCGAGCCUCGCAUGGGUCGCAGCCGCCGGGCCUUCCUCACACGCCUGGCGCGCUCCAAAGGCUUCCGCGUCCUUGACGCCUGCAGCUCCGAAGCGACACAUGUUGUGAUGGAAGAGACCUCAGCAGAGGAGGCCGUCAGCUGGCAGGAGCGCAGGAUGGCAGCUGCUCCCCCGGGUUGCACCCCCCCAGCUCUGCUGGACAUAAGCUGGUUAACAGAGAGCCUGGGAGCUGGGCAGCCUGUACCUGUGGAGUGCCGGCACCGCCUGGAGGUGGCUGGGCCAAGGAAGGGGCCUCUGAGCCCAGCAUGGAUGCCUGCCUAUGUCUGCCAGCGCCCCACGCCCCUCACGCACCACAACACUGGCCUCUCGGUAAGCCGCUUCUAUGAGCCUUGGCCAGCCCUGGGGGUUGGGGACA
rnacentral:sRNA from 1 species